rnacentral:rRNA from 1 species
AUAUUGGACAAUGGGGGGAACCCUUAUCCCGCCAUGCCGCGUGUGUGAAGAAGGUUUUCGGAUUGUAAAGCACUUUAAGUUUGGAGGAAGGGUUGUUGGCUAAUACCUUUCAAUUUUGACGUUACCAAACGAAUAAGCCCCGGCUAACUUCGUGCCAGCAGCCGCGGAAAUACGAAGGGUGCAAGCUGUAAUCGGAAUUACUGGGGGGAAAACGGGCGUAGGUGGUGCGUUAAGUUGGAAGUGAAAGACCCGGGCUUAACCUGGGGAUUGCUUUCAAAACAGACGAGCUAGAGUACGGUAGAGGGUAGUGGAAUUUCCUGUGUAGCGGUGAAAUGCGGAGAUAUGUGGAGGAAUACCGAUGGCGAAGGCAGCCACCUGGGAUAAUACUGACGCUCAGACACGAAAGCGUGGGGAGCAAACAGG